AGGACGAACGCUGGCGGCGUGCUUAACACAUGCAAGUCGAGCGAACCUUCGGGUUAGCGGCGAACGGGUGAGUAACACGUGGGCAACCUGCCCCGAGCUCUGGGAUAACUCCGGGAAACCGGGGCUAAUACCGGAUAUGACCCGAGAAGACAUCUUCUCGGGUGGAAAGUUUUUCGGCUCGGGAUGGGCCCGCGGCCUAUCAGCUUGUUGGUGGGGUAACGGCCUACCAAGGCGACGACGGGUAGCCGGCCUGAGAGGGCGACCGGCCACACUGGGACUGAGACACGGCCCAGACUCCUACGGGAGGCAGCAGUGAGGAAUAUUGGACAAUGGGUGAAAGCCUGAUCCAGCCAUCCCGCGUGAAGGAUUAAAGGACCUUACGGUUUGUAAACUUCUUUUAUAUAGGGAUAAACCUAGAUACGUGUAUCUAGCUGAAGGUACUAUAUGAAUAAGCACCGGCUAACUCCGUGCCAGCAGCCG
rnacentral:rRNA from 1 species